rnacentral:rRNA from 1 species
GACGAACGCUGGCGGCGUGCUUAACACAUGCAAGUCGAACGGAAAGGCCCUGCUUUUGUGGGGUGCUCGAGUGGCGAACGGGUGAGUAACACGUGAGUAACCUGCCCUUGACUUUGGGAUAACUUCAGGAAACUGGGGCUAAUACCGGAUAGGCGCUCCUGCUGCAUGGUGGGGGUUGGAAAGUUUCGGCGGUUGGGGAUGGACUCGCGGCUUAUCAGCUUGUUGGUGGGGUAGUGGCUUACCAAGGCUUUGACGGGUAGCCGGCCUGAGAGGGUGACCGGCCACAUUGGGACUGAGAUACGGCCCAGACGCCUACGGGAGGCAGCAGUGGGGAAUAGUGCACAAUGGGCGGAAGCCUGAUGCAGCAACGCCGCGUGCGGGAUGACGGCCUUCGGGUUGUAAACCGCUUUCGCCUGUGACGAAGCGUGAGUGACGGUAAUGGGUAAAGAAGCACCGGCUAACUACGUG